rnacentral:rRNA from 1 species
AGCGAACGCUGGCGGCAGGCCUAACACAUGCAAGUCGAACGAAGCCUUCGGGCUUAGUGGCGGACGGGUGGGUAACACGUGGGAACGUACCUUUUGGUUCGGAACAACUCAGGGCAACUUGAGCUAAUACCGGAUGAGCCCUUAGGGGGAAAGAUUUAUCGCCGAAAGAGCGGCCCGCGUUAGAUUAGCUAGUUGGUGAGGUAAAGGCUCACCAAGGCAACGAUCUAUAGCUGGUCGGAGAGGAUGAUCAGCCACACUGGGACUGAGACACGGCCCAGACUCCUACGGGAGGCAGCAGUGGGGAAUCUUGCGCAAUGGACGAAAGCCUGACGCAGCCAUGCCGCGUGAAUGAUGAAGGUCUUAGGAUUGUAAAAUUCUUUUACCAGGGACGAUAAUGACGGUACCUGGAGAAAAAGCCCCGGCUAACUUCGUGCCAGCAGCCGCGGUAACAC